AUUUUUUUCAAUGAAAAUUACAUUAUUAAGAUUGUAUAAUAUUAAAUUAAUCUAUAUAUUAAAUAUAAUUGAUCAAAUUUUAUUACAAUUAUCGCAAAUAGAAUUAAAAUGAAUAAUAAUGGUUGGUAAAAAGAUAUAAACACUCACUUGUUUGAACACGAAAAUAAACAAAGCAAAUCUCAUAAGUAUAAAUGAGAAUCAUUUUGUGAAAAUACUAGAAGCCAAAUUUGAAAGAUACAACAGUAUUUAAAAAAAAAAUGUUUAAAGUAAAGGAUUUUGACUGUUCUAAAAAAACAGUUUUGCAAAAUAGAAAUGUGACAU